UACGUAGGGUGCGAGCGUUGUCCGGAAUUACUGGGCGUAAAGAGCUCGUAGGUGGUUUGUCGCGUUGUUCGUGAAAACCGGGGGCUUAACCCUCGGCGUGCGGGCGAUACGGGCAGACUGGAGUACUGCAGGGGAGACUGGAAUUCCUGGUGUAGCGGUGGAAUGCGCAGAUAUCAGGAGGAACACCGGUGGCGAAGGCGGGUCUCUGGGCCGAUACUGACACUGAGGAGCGAAAGCGUGGGGAGCGAACAGG
rnacentral:rRNA from 1 species